GGCGAGAUGGCCGAGCGGUCUAAGGCGCCAGACUAAGGUUUUCACAUGUUAUCUGGUCCUCACGGGCGUGGGUUCGAAUCCUACUCUCGUCA